UUCUGCUUUUCUGUGUCCAUAUGUUAAUGAGGUGGAUGGUUCUAACAUUUGUCUUCAGCACCAUUGGUUAACUGAGAGAAUCAGACAGAAGCAAACGAUUUCUGCAUGGAUUCAUUCUCCUGUUCACCCUGUCGUCCACGGGGUGGCAGUGAAGCUCAUUUUUUGUUGGUUGCUGCCAAAGUUUACGGCGAAACUAAAGCAACAGCAGAAGAAUGGCUUUGAGCGGGACUCCACUGGCAGAGCUCUUGAAUGUGGCUGAGCAGCUAGAAAACGCACCAAGUGUGGUGAACUCUGUAAUUUCACCCCCACCACAGAUACCAACACACCCAGUGGAUGGUCCACUGAGGUUGUAAGACUGUUUGGCCCCGAUGCUCGUGGGAGAGGACCAGCAAGGAGGAGAUCUAUCAUUGUGUCUCCACAGCUGCACUCAAACACGCACAGGUUUAGCUGUCUGGAGGACAAACAUAUGGAGUUAGUCUCUAAUCGGUCUGUGAAGCAGCAGGGUUGGGGAAAAGCGUCUCACCUUUCAAGGAAGUCAUACAAGUCCAGAAGAGUUUAAAGCCUUCAUAUUAUCCUCAUUCCCAAAACUCAGAGACGGUGGUGGAUUUGAGCUCCUUCAGAUAGCUGCAGUACUCGGAGUCGGCAGCAGCUGAUGGUGAUCCAUGUCCAAACCAUGGCUACACUGUUCAAUAUUUAAACAAUCCCCAAAGUCAGAUCGGGGAUGCUACCAUUUUCAUCAGGCCACUCCAGAGGAACCUUAAUCCCAAUCCUGUAAAUUCGUCACUUUAUCUCAAACAGAGAGCAACACUGAACUACUUGGGCCAUUGGAGAAAUGUGUGCUCUGUGGGGAGGAGGUCCCUUUUUCCACCAUAAAAAAUCACAGCGAUGAAUGCACAAGACUGUUGCAGAGCAGUGAUGAGGUACGAAUGGCGGUAACCGAAGAAGAUUCCCACCCACAGGACGUCAGACAGCAAGGCCCAUCAACACUAGAGAUACCUCAGGGACCUGCUGCUGCUCCAGAGAUUGUUGAUCUAGUUUCCAUUGAAGAGAGCGGCUCUGCUGAAGAUCCAGCCACUUCUUCUCAACAGUCAUGUCCAAACUCCAGUAUGGUUUUGAUAUUCAAUUUGCACCAGGAGGAACACUUCUAUUUGAGGGUGAAAAAGAUCAUUUGAUUCCGUCUACUUCCCAUUUCCUUCUGGAAAGUGACUUUUUUCUUGUUGCUGGCCGAAUGAUUGGUCAUUGGUUCCUACAUGAUGGGCCAUGCCUAGGUGGACUUAGCACAGCAAUCAUGCAUGUGCUCUUUGGUGGUUCCCCAGAAGAAGCCACAACUGAUCUGAAGGACUGUGCAGACCAUGAUAUCCGUGAGACACUUAAGUGGAUGGUGCAGCAGAAUUAUCAUCUGAAGAAAAAGACACCAUCAAUGUCGUGGGAUUUUCCUCGGGUCACCUCUGAGAACAGGCGAUGGCUGUUUGACAAACUGAUCUUCCAUGCUGUUCUUGGAAGAACCUCCAGACAAGUCCAGCAGUUACGACGGGUUUAAAGGACACACAGAUCUGGCCUUUGCUGAAAGAGAGAACAGACACAGCUCCUCUUCUAUUUCCAAGAACAUCUGAUAUACAGUUCACAGCACAUAUACUGCUGUCAUACAGUCCCCUGUGGAGCUGUCCUAAUAAACCCAUGCAGCGUCAUUCUGUGUUUAUUUUGAUAAUCAUAAAUAGAACAGCCCAGCUGCCUGAAAUCAUCCAUCAGGGAAAUUAGUUUUUAAUUUUAUGGACGAUUUGGAAAAGAUCAGAAGAAAUUUAGUCAUUUUACACAAGUAGAACUACUGGUAUGUUUCUUUAAACUCUUUAAAACAUGACCAUACCCAAAUCUGACUACAACUUUUAUGUUUACUGUUUCUUAUAGUAUGAAUUUCACCUCAAGGAAUUAAUAGUCUUACUUUAUAAAGAUGUACACAUCAAUGUGUUACAUUAUUUAUUAUUAUUCCAACCACUGCUGUUAGUGCUGUUGUGUCUGUUUACUUAUUUUUGUCUGGGUUGUUUAGAAAAGCAGGUGUUAACUGAUCAAAUAUUUUCUCAGAUCAUCUCGGACCAGAUAAACUGGCCCACACACGAUGAUGAGGAAGACAUCGAGGUCUCCUUGGAGGAUACUUGUAGUGCCUCAGGAGAACAUUUAUUGAGAAUGGCUCUUCUAAGCAGCUGGAGAAACUUGUGCAGUUCUGGGUGGGCUGGAACGUAGUCCCCAGAUCUUUGGAUGUUGAAGUGGUGGAGAACAGCUUCCCCAAGUCUUCCCCCUGCUUAAACUCCCAAGACAUUACACUGAAUACAGCAUCUUCCAAACAGCUGCCAAUUCAACCGUUGAUACUGGUUUUGAAAUGAUCUGAGCCUCAGUUUAAAAAAAAAAAAACAACCACUAAGGAUGAGGCUCACUUGCAGUUUAUGUAAAGCAUGUUUCUCUUUUAGGCUCAGUCCCACUGUUCAGUUGGUGUUCAUUUAGUCAAACAUUUUUAUUUUCCUGCGUUGACUGUGUGGUCAAAAUGUCUAAAAAGACAAGAGUUCAAUGUUAAAAGGGAGACCAUUUAUGGUGUGUAAAGUUUUCUUUUUCUUUUUACUUAUAAAGGGUUCUGUAUCAAAUUGUGUUUUGAUACAGUUGUCAAUCUGUAUCAAAUAAUCUAAAUUGUUUUAUGAUUCACAAAAUGUCUGUUUCUAUUGAUAUGAGCAUAAUGUGUCAAAACAACUCUUAAAACAAUAGGACAGAUUUUGUACAAAGCUCUAUUGCAAAACCAUGUGAGUUAUAAAUGUUAAAAGAAGAGUUCUGCCUUUUUCAUUCUCAAAUACUUUGCUAGGUUAACAAGUAAACAGACAGUUUCAUA